GUGUCAGUAAGGUACAUACUUACCUGGUACUUUUGUGAAGUAGCAGACCAUAAUGAAUGGAGUUUGAUGAUAAAUUAUUGUUCUCACCUGGUCUUCAGAGAAAUGCAAUGCUCUGAGGAUCCUGUUCUGAU
rnacentral:snoRNA from 1 species